CAGACUGAUCCUAGGCCAGAGGAGCAUUUAAAGGUGAGGAAAAGAACAGACUAUCUGCAUACAGUAAGAUUGUUCAUUAACCACAAGCUGUUAGCUCUGAGGGUUUUGAGAAGGAGGAAUUGAGACUGGUGGUAGAGACUGCAGUGUUGGACCCAGAAGAGCACACAGAGACAGAACAAAUUGCAGGCAUACAGUUUGCACCACAGUAGCCAGGAGAGGACUCGGACACCAGAGACUCUACAGAGAACAGUGGAGGAACGGCCUGAAAUUUGUUCUCCCCCCCUUACAAGAAGGUGGACUAGGAAAAAAUAGGGUAUGGGGUGGAGCAUGAGGGACCGCAGUGUUCCAAACAGCUGGGACUAAGAGGAUGCCUAAGAACCACUGAAGGACCAUGGAUUUCAUCGCUUCCAUUAGUGUGGCAGAAGGAGGCAAUCCAGGCCACUGACUAGAGCUGGUUAUGGAGAAUAUUACUGCUGGACCUUUUAUUUGGAAUAUUAUGGUUUUAGUAACUGAGUUCCAUGAGGUUCCUGUAUGUUCUGUGAGAAUGACAACGUCCAAGAUCAAAGUGUGAUGAACUAUUGAACUAUUAUGGAGCGGAUAUUGGCUUAACCUGCUUGGCUGGAGACGACCACCCAGGACCCCCAGAAAGAACGAAGUGGGACCCCAAACCACCAAUGCAGAAUUUGGAAGAGCCUGAACAAGUACUAUAGGUUGUUAACUGAAGCGGUGCACAGGGCUCAUGAACAGGUGCUGGACGCUUGGGGACCUCCGGUAGAGGGAAGACAUGACCUGAUACCUGGCGAGUGGGUGUGGGUGAAGAAGAGAUACCCUGCCAGAUGUUGCAACCCUGCUGGAAGGGACCAUUUCAAGUGCUACUGACUACCAACUUUGCCAUCUGAGUGACAGGAUGAGAUCGCUGGAUCCACGCAUCGCACUAUCACCGAGCCACUGCACCAGAGACUGAGUGAGCGGAAAGAAUUAUGUUGUUACUGUUUCUGUGUCUGAUGCAUCCUAAGGUGUGCUUGUUAGGCCUGAGGAGCAUUACUGGGGAAUAUGGUAUCAAUACAUUCCUGGUGUUGUCAUAUCUAUCAGUCAAAAAAAACCCAGAAUUGGUUCUAUAUUGCUAUUCCAAGAUCCUGAUGAUAGAUCUCCACAUGGCUGAGGUCUGCGUUUGGGUCCUGGGGUGGAACUUUAUUACAAUAUUUAUUUGUAGGGUAAAUAUUGCUUAUAUGUAUUCAGUAAUUGUAAUCAUCACUUGUACAAAGACAUUAAUCACAUCUUGCUGUAACCGUGGAAUGCAUGCCUGUACACCUAGGAAGGAAAGAUCUGCCCUGACAUUGUUUGUGUAAAAAAAAUAGGCAGCACUGACGUAUGCCAUAUUUUAUAAGGGGAGGAAUGAAGAAAGAUACAAGAUGUGAAGAAGGGGUUAACUGAUUCCUUUCUGCAUGAGGACUCGACUUCUAAGUAACAGACUCGAGUUAUAGCAGGAAAGGAGGAUAACUGAUAAGGAUUCCAGAUACCAGCUAGGAAACCCCCCAGGGAAGGGAACCUUACACUGACCAUUUGGCAUAAGUCUGUAAACUGUCCGAACACUGUGACUGUCCCCCCUUUACCAUAAUAAUGAGCUACGUCAGAAGCGGCAGAAAAGGGAUAUUAUCAUAGUAAUGAGCUAUGUCAGAAGCGGCAGAAAAGGGCUAUAUAAACUGGAAGUUUUGUACCGGCACUUGGAACAAUAAUUCGGUUUUGUUGUUCCUUGUGUGAACAAUACUUCGGUUUUAUUGUUCCUUGCAUGCAAUAAAACUCAUCUGUUUAACUUCAUCUCAGGAUCCAGAACUUAUUUUUCUGUUACAACAGUACCUACAAUCUUUACCCUCUUUGUGUAAGUGUAGUGUAAUUAAUGAAACUAGGA